CGAGCCCUACGGGACGCAGCAGUAGGGAAUAUUGCUCAAUGGGGGAAACCCUGAAGCAGCGACGCCGCGUGGAGGAUGAAGGUUUUAGGAUUGUAAACUCCUUUUGUUAGAGAAGAUUAUGACGGUAUCUAACGAAUAAGCACCGGCUAACUCCGUGCCAGCAGCCGCGGUAAUACGGAGGGUGCAAGCGUUACUCGGAAUCACUGGGCGUAAAGAGUGCGUAGGCGGGGUAAUAAUUCAGAUUUGAAAUCCUGUAGCUUA
rnacentral:rRNA from 1 species